rnacentral:rRNA from 1 species
ACGAGGACGGUUACAUGGAUAACUGUGGCAAUUCUAGAGCUAAUACAUGCAAAGGGAGCUCCGAGCGUCGCAACGAGCGCAUUUAUUAGAACAAAACCAAUCGAGUCGAAAUAACUCUGGCUGAUCGCACGGCCACGCGCCGGCGACGCACCUUUCAAAUGUCUGACUUAUCAACUUUCGAUGGUAGGCUACGCGCCUACCAUGGUGAUAACGGGUGACGGGGAAUCAGGGUUCGAUUCCGGAGAGGGAGCCUGAGAAACGGCUACCACAUCCAAGGAAGGCAGCAGGCGCGCAAAUUACCCACUCCCGGCACGGGGAGGUAGUGACGAGAAAUAACGA